GUGUUUUGUCAGUGAGAGCUCACUGAUUGUCUUCAUGAUGACCAUCAUCUCUCUGCUCCUGCUGGCCUCUCUGCUGCCACACCUGACCUUCACUGCUAGAGAAAAAAAGUCACACAAAAUGAGAAAGUCAAGUGGAUAUCUUUACCAAUAGAAGAAGAGGAGAUUGAAGUGCAUUCUGUCUGCAGUGUUGCACGCUGGGGAAGGCUGGAUAAUGGCUCCCUUAGCAAUCGACUCAUGGAAACACAUGUGAAGAUCAUGAAUAACACAAAAUGUAAAAAUAAGUGGGGAGAGGAUGACUAUUCAGCUUCAGAGAUGAUGUGUACAUAUGGCAAUGGAGGAAGCUGCACCAUAAGUAAAAGAUAAUCUCUAAUAUUGGGGAGUUUAAAAUCUGUGUUUACAUUGUUAACAGGGGGAUUCAGGAGGUCCUUUGGUUUGUGGGAAAACUGCUGUUGGUGUCACAUCUUUUGGUGACCCUGAUCUCUGUAAUUCACCAAAGCUACCUGAAGUUUAUAUGAAGGUUUUGGCAUAUCUGCCAUGGAUAAAUAAGUUUAUUGGAAAUGU